rnacentral:lncRNA from 1 species
GCUCCCGCACCGUGACACCAGGAGGAACCGGCGGGUUGUCAAUCGGCACCAUCAACCGCCCGUCCACCUCCUCCGCGUCCCGGGCGCGACCCGGUAGCAGAAGCUCAUGGUAAACAAUCUCCAGAGCAGACUCAUAGGACUGCUCCUCGUCCUCCAAAGCCUCCGCGAUUCUCACCGUGAUAAGCUCGGCCGGCAACCGGCGAAUCCGGUUGAUCAGGUCCUGACGCCGGCGCCACUCGCUCGACCGGCCAUAGGACAGGUUAGAACUAGCUGCAGAGCUGUCGGAAGACAUAUCACCUGCACAAAACAAACCAAGGCAAGACGACCGGUUACAAGUUCCGAUCAGAUAACAAAGCAAGAAAACAGAUGAUCACUACGCCAACAGGCCUAGACUCGAACACUCACCAAUAUUGCAGAGACAAGCUUUUACAAAGAUACGCGAUGAACUGAGCACUUUUCACCAAGAUAAAACUCCCUUUAUAUAGACAGCACUCCAGCCCUUUGAACUUCAGCCGUUACUUCCCUAGGCAGUUGAAGCGCCAAAAAUACACAUCCAUCAGCCCCGUCAAAAGCCUCAUGCAUGUAUCUGUGCCAGUAAUUAAUUGGCACAAAUAUCCGCACAGAAUACCAUCAGUCAAAUUAACCUGGCAUGCAGAUACGACAUCAACCACUCACAGCACGCCACGUGGAAAAACCGUACAUUCCCCAUACGGAACGACAAGACCAGGCGGCAAAAGGCUUCACACCUUUUGAAAAUUUUGAAAUCCAUGGCCCAGCAAACACAACCCGGGUAAAUCACGCCAAUAACCCGCCACCUCAGCCCAGCCACUCACAACAAACACGCUCGCCCACAUACAACCCGGAAGUGCACCUUUGCGGGAAGGAUUUUACUUACUCCCCCCACCCGCUAAAGCAGAUGGAAGGAGUAGGGGGGCAAUGAUAAGGUACCACGCUACAGUGACCGCCAACAGUACCCGCCCCCGCUACAGG